rfam:Picea glauca, whole genome shotgun sequence.
AUGUACAUGCCUACAACAUUAAUUCAUUAGAUCACAUUAUAACUCUAUAGUUAAGCAUGAUUGGGCUAGAGUAGUACUUAUGGGGAAGUCCUAGUGUUUUACAUU